rnacentral:ncRNA from 2 species
CGUAGGUUCCGGGGUCGGUGAGAAUCCGAACCGGCGGUGAGAGUCCGCGACCCCCGCAUUCGCGGGGUUGAACCGGUGGAAUUCCGGUACCGACGGUGAUGGGCGGCAGUUUCGACUGCGCGCCCGAGUCCGGAUGGAAGGAACGUGGG